GAAUUAUUGGGCGUAAAGCGCGCGUAGGCGGUUUUUUAAGUCUGAUGUGAAAGCCCACGGCUCAACCGUGGAGGGUCAUUGGAAACUGGAAAACUUGAGUGCAGAAGAGGAAAGUGGAAUUCCAUGUGUAGCGGUGAAAUGCGCAGAGAUAUGGAGGAACACCAGUGGCGAAGGCGACUUUCUGGUCUGUAACUGACGCUGAUGUGCGAAAGCGUGGGGAUCAAACAGGAUUAGAUACCCUGGUAGUCCACGCCGUAAACGAUGAGUGCUAAGUGUAAUCACUAGUGAAUUCGCGGCCGCCUGCAGGUCGACCAUAUGGGAGAGCUCCCAACGCGUUGGAUGCAUAGCUUGAGUAUUCUAUAGUGUCACCUAAAUAGCUUGGCGUAAUCAUGGUCAUAGCUGGUAUCCUG
rnacentral:rRNA from 1 species